AAGCAUACGUGGGAAGGAAGGAUGGUCCUAUACAAGAUAGUGAUACCCUUCUUCUAGCGCCAAUGUUGCAGGCCUCAGAGCUCACAAUCCAAUGUUGGAGGCCUCAUAGCCCGAGGGUUAUAUGGACCAUUUUUAGGUCUCACGGUUUUGUUCCUUAAAAGACGCCUCACGUGGGAAAGAUGGUCCUUUCCUAUAUAAGCUAGAUUUUUCCUUAACUCUAAUCAAUGUGGGACUAAUGAUAU
rnacentral:lncRNA from 1 species